UACGAAGGGUGCAAACGUUGCUCGGAAUCACUGGGCGUAAAGGGCGCGUAGGCGGCCAUUCAAGUCGGGGGUGAAAGCCUGUGGCUCAACCACAGAAUUGCCUUCGAUACUGUUUGGCUUGAGUUUGGUAGAGGUUGGUGGAACUGCGAGUGUAGAGGUGAAAUUCGUAGAUAUUCGCAAGAACACCAGUGGCGAAGGCGGCCAACUGGACCAAUACUGACGCUGAGGCGCGAAAGCGUGGGGAGCAAACAGG
rnacentral:rRNA from 1 species